rnacentral:rRNA from 1 species
ACGCUCGACACCUACGGGAGGCAGCAGUGGGGAAUAUCGGGCAAUGGGCGAAAGCCUGACCCAGCAACGCCGCGUGAGGGAAGAAGGUUUUCGGAUUGUAAACCUCUGUCCUCAGGGACGAAGGACGUGACGGUACCUGAGGAGGAAGCCCCGGCUAACUACGUGCUAGCAGCCGCGGUAAUCUGAGCGGGCUGGCAAGGC